CCCCUUUUACCUGCAGCUACCAUCCUAUAGAUCUCCUUGCUAAGCACACCAAUCUUCCAGAUGCACAUCUAAUUUUCAAGCCUAGUCCAUGGAGGACCUCUUUGCUGGUUUUUAGAUUAUGUUAACCUAAAAUCAGUAUGAUUUGCGGGUCUAUUGAAACCAUGGCGUGCUACUAAUUUUGAAUUGGAACAAAAAAGUGUUUUUGUUUACCUCGGAAUCAUCAUUGAAUUUAAUCUCAGUAAGUGUCAUAUCAUACAAUUAUUAUGACCAAAUUAAUAUGUAUAAGCUUAUGCGAUGCUAGAUGAUUCGCAACGUCAUAAUUGAAUGGCCAGGAGAAAUCUUUUCUUGCGUGGCUAUGGUUACUAAAUUUUCAAAUCUACACGAGUGGACAUUUGA
rnacentral:lncRNA from 1 species